AUGACAAAAGGCGUCUCUUUGCUGACGGUACAACUCUACCUUUUGGUCAUUAAAACUAGAUUUUUUAUUUUAUUUUAUUUUUUCAGACUUGCUGUUAUGGAGGAAAUUGAUUUUGAAACCCGUUUCAUAUUCCCUUUUUCCUGUAUGAUUGUAGGUCCCAGCGGUUGUGGGAAAACCUACUUUGUAAAAAAUGUAUUACAAAACUGUGAACGUGUGAUGAAUGUUGUACCUGAAAAUAUUGUAUGGAUUUAUACCUCCUUUCAACAUAUGUACAAUGAAUUGCAAAGGAUGAAUAAAAAGAUUAAAUUUGUUCAAGGACUACCUGAUUCUUUUGAAGAUGAAAACCUGUUCCUUCCCGAACAAACACAUCUGAUUAUUUUGGACGAUGUUAUUUUUCAAGCCUCCAACCAUCCUGAAGUGGUCAAGAUUUUUACACAGUACAGACAUCACAGAAACAUGAGCGUCAUGAUGUUGACACAAAACGUUUUUCAUCAGGGCAAACACAGUCGCACCAUUAGUUUGAACAGCAAUUAUUUGGUGAUGUUUAAAAAUCCCCAGGAUAAAUUACAAAUGAAUAUAUUAGCGCAUCAAAUCUUUCCAUCCCAAAAGGCAUAUUUCUUAGAGAGUUUUGAAGAUGCUACCACCGAGCCUCAUGGGUAUUUAAUAGUAGAUCUCACGCCCACCUGUCCAGAACGGUACAGACUGAGGACGGGUGUACUUCCUUUACUGCAAAGAUAUUUGGCCUUCUCCAAGCAGGAUCAGAGAGACGGACAGAGGGUGACUCUGACUCUACAGAGGGGACAGGAGAAUGAUCAGUCUGAGCUUUUAGACACUAACGUACAAACGUCUCAAGAUGCUCAGGUACCCGCCGGGUUGGAUCACACGGUCGAUGAGGUUUUGAAAAGUCUACCCCCGCGAGAGCGCAAGAAAGCGGAAUAUAUCUUAAAUAAAUUAUACGAAAGCACAGAUGGGUGGAGUUCAAAGGGUGAAUUUUUUUAUAGGGGAAAGAGCAUGAAGGGAUCUCAUAUGAUUGAUUUAUUCAAACAUCUUUCGUUACCUUUAUAA
rnacentral:lncRNA from 1 species